rnacentral:rRNA from 1 species
UACGAAGGGGGCUAGCGUUGUUCGGAGUUACUGGGCGUAAAGGGCGCGUAGGCGGCCGAUCAAGUCGGGGGUGAAAGCCUGUGGCUCAACCACAGAAUUGCCUUCGAUACUGUUUGGCUUGAGACCGGAAGAGGUUAGUGGAACUGCGAGUGUAGAGGUGAAAUUCGUAGAUAUUCGCAAGAACACCAGUGGCGAAGGCGGCUGACUGGUCCGGUUCUGACGCUGAGGCGCGAAAGCGUGGGGAGCAAACAGG